GGGCACCGACUACAAGCCGGGCAGUCCAGGAAAAGUCCCAGCUUGGGUUCCUCAAACUGGACUUUUCCCCUCCGUGGCUGCACGGCUUCUUACCGGUGCCAGAGCAGAACCCAGCCAUGAUUUUUAGGCUUCACGGUGGGAAGUAACACUGUGGAGUUAUGACUCAGAGGCACAGCC